rnacentral:rRNA from 1 species
GGAUUAGAUACCCUGGUAGUCCACGCCGUAAACGAUGUCUACUUGGAGGUUGUUCCCUUGAGGAGUGGCUUUCGGAGCUAACGCGUUAAGUAGACCGCCUGGGGAGUACGGUCGCAAGAUUAAAACUCAAAUGAAUUGACGGGGGCCCGCACAAGCGGUGGAGCAUGUGGUUUAAUUCGAUGCAACGCGAAGAACCUUACCUACACUUGACAUGCUGAGAAGUUACUAGAGAUAGUUUCGUGCCUUCGGGAACUCAGACACAGGUGCUGCAUGGCUGUCGUCAGCUCGUGCUG